GAGGUGCUUUGAACAUUCAUUAGAAAGCCAGCUGCUGCAGGGAAGAGCCAUCCUGGUGUUUCCCAGCUGUUGCGAACUCCAGAAUGGCAUCUCUGUGCUCAUUGAGCCGGGACAGGAACCCUUGGGAUCCUUGGUGGCAGCGGUGGGAUUUAGCUGAUCCCUUUUACCAACAACUCCAACCUUCUCCAGGAUCUCCUUGGUGGAUGUGUCUGUCAGCUGAGCUGUCCCUUUGUUUUCCUUACUUGGAAGAGUAACAUAUUAGCAACAAUGUAUCAGCUUCUACAAAAAGCAUUAAAAUAAACAAAUGUAUCAAAGUGCA